AACCCAUAUUGUGGACACUUCCACAAGAGGUCCUUGAUUUUUUCCCAAGUCUCAAAUAAAGAUUCAAGCUCCAUCUGAACAAAUGAAGAUAUUUCAUUACGAAGCUU